rfam:Apaloderma vittatum contig62922, whole genome shotgun sequence.
GGCCGGUUAGCUCAGUUGGUUGAGCAUGGCGCUUACAAUGCCAAGGCCGCGGGUUCGAUUUCCGUUCAGUCCC